GAUGAACGCUGGCGGCGUGCUUAACACAUGCAAGUCGAACGAGAAGUGAAGACGGAAACCUUCGGGCGGAAGGCUUUAUUUCGAGUGGCGGACGGGUGAGUAACGCGUGGGUAACCUGCCUCAUACAGGGGGAUAACAGUUGGAAACGACUGUUAAUACCGCAUAAGACCACAGCACCGCAUGGUGCGGGGGUAAAAACUCCGGUGGUAUGAGAUGGACCCGCGUUCGAUUAGCCAGUUGGCGGGGUAACGGCCCACCAAAGCGACGAUCGAUAGCCGAGAUGAGAGGCUGACCGGAGACAUCGGGGCUGAGACACGGCCCGAACUCCUACGGGAGGCAGCAGUGGGGAAUAGUGCACAAUGGGGGAAACCCUGAUGCAGCGCCGCCGCGUGAGUGAAGAAGUAUUUCGGUAUGUAAAGCGCUAUCAGCAGGGCAGAAAAUGACGGUACCUGAGUAAGAAGCCCCGGCUAACUACGUG
rnacentral:rRNA from 1 species